rnacentral:misc_RNA from 1 species
GCUAAUAUGAUACAAGUAGAUUGAAAUGACUUUAACAUCACAACAGAUGGCAGAGAACUAGUCCUAGAGAGAACUGGAUGGAGAAGAAAGAUCAAUGUAAUCAACACCAACAAGUUUGGAAUCUGAGGCAUAGUUAAGUACUACUAAUAUGAUACAAGGGCUGUAUGGCUUAGUGAAUCUACUUAUCACGGAAAAGGGGAAAGGAGGAACCCUCAAAUCAUUGCUUUGGUGUCCUGUGUGCAUGUCCUUUGGUUUAGCUAGCUGCUGUUGACAUUAUUUGCAGACGUCUGGCAAUUUCUAUCAAAGAAGGCCUGGCUACAGGAUCAGGGGCCCAACACUGCUCCAUCAA